AACGAACGCUGGCGGCAUGCCUAACACAUGGAAGUCGAACGAUGCCUUCGGGCAUAGUGGCGCACGGGUGCGUAACGCGUGGGAAUCUGCCUUUCGGUUCGGAAUAACUCAGGGAAACUUGAGCUAAUACCGGAUAACGUCGCAAGACCAAAGAUUUAUCACCGAAAGAUGAGCCCGCGUAGGAUUAGCUAGUUGGUGAGGUAAAGGCUCACCAAGGCGACGAUCCUUAGCUGGUCUGAGAGGAUGAUCAGCCACACUGGGACUGAGACACGGCCCAGACUCCUACGGGAGGCAGCAGUGGGGAAUAUUGGACAAUGGGCGAAAGCCUGAUCCAGCAAUGCCGCGUGAGUGAUGAAGGCCUUAGGGUUGUAAAGCUCUUUUACCCGGGAAGAUAAUGACGGUACCGGGAGAAUAAGCCCCGGCUAACUCCGUG
rnacentral:rRNA from 1 species